rnacentral:ncRNA from 4 species
UAGCACCAUUUGAAAUCGGU